CUUGUUCAGUGUUCACGGUUUAUAUUGCUGAAGGACAAUUACAAGUCUAAACGGAGAAGAGUCGUCAUUUCAAGGUGUUUUCGCGGACGUAUUGGCAUGUGGAUGUUGACAGUGUCGGAAGUAUUAAUCAAAGUUGACACGAGAAGUUGGAGCGAAUGCGAGAAGAGUAUGCGAUGAGCUGCCUGCCUGCUGCUGCCUACUGCCUACUCCUGCUGCUGCCGCUGCUGCUGUUGCAUCCAAGUAAGUUUGGCUGCUAAAAUGUUUUGAUAUUCACUGAACAGACAUGCAAUUGCCUGCAUAGUCCUUUCUUAUUUGAAAGAUGAAUCCCUGUCGCUUGCAAGAUACACAAUCUCAUGCCCAUCGUGCAUAGCUAAUUCAUUGCAUUGGGGAGAGGUGGACUUUCCUGGUGAACCAGUAGCCCAGCCCCCUGGGCGUCAACACAUAGCUUCUGGUUCACCAGGAAAGAGGUGGACGCCGGAUGUAAACAAACUGAGAGGGGGUGUCACGUUGAGUAGCUUUGCAGAUGUAGGCAAAGAGAUUGGCACAUUACUAACGGUGUUGGACUACCAUAAAUUGUUGGGUAGCCAGCCACCCAUGCAUGUUGACACAGCCAGCAGCCCGGCACCCAUGGCACAUGGGGAUGGACCCAGGAGUGGAGGAUGACCCAAUAGGAUGAACGUUCAGCCCACUCACUGUUGACACCAGUGACACAGUAUUGACCAGAUCUCCUGGAAGUGCCCCCUGACGCAGACCCAGUUGUUGGGUAGCCACCCAUGCACGUUGACACAGCCAGCACCGAACACCCAGGGGGAUGGAACCAGGAAUGGAGGAUGGU